UACCAGCACCCCGAGUGGUCGGGACGUUUAUUGGGCGUAAAGAGCUCGUAGGCGGUUUGUCGCGUCUGCCGUGAAAGUCCGGGGCUCAACUCCGGAUCUGCGGUGGGUACGGGCAGACUAGAGUGAUGUAGGGGAGACUGGAAUUCCUGGUGUAGCGGUGAAAUGCGCAGAUAUCAGGAGGAACACCGGUGGCGAAGGCGGGUCUCUGGGCCGAUACUGACGCUGAGGAGCGAAAGCGUGGGGAGCGAACAGG
rnacentral:rRNA from 1 species